AUACGUAGGGGGCGAGCGUUGUCCGGAAUGAUUGGGCGUAAAGGGCGCGUAGGCGGCGCGGUAAGUCUGGAGUGAAAGUCCUGCUUUCAAGGUGGGAAUUGCUUUGGAUACUGCCGCGCUUGAGUGCAGGAGAGGUUAUCGGAAUUCCCGGUGUAGCGGUGAAAUGCGUAGAGAUCGGAGGAACACCAGUGGCGAAGGCGGGUAACUGGACUGCAACUGACGCUGAGGCGCGAAAGUGUGGGGAGCAAACAGGAUCAGAUACCCUGGUAGUCCACACUGUAAACGAUGAAUGCUAGGUGUAAGAGGUAUCGACCCCUUUUGUGCCGGAGUCAACACAAUAAGCAUUCCGCCUGGGGAGUACGGCCGCAAGGUUGAAACUCAAAUGAAUUGACGGGG
rnacentral:rRNA from 1 species